rnacentral:rRNA from 1 species
UAGGGAAUCUUCCACAAUGGACGCAAGUCUGAUGGAGCGACGCCGCGUGAGUGAAGAAGGUUUUCGGAUCGUAAAGCUCUGUUGUUGGUGAAGAAGGAUAGAGGCAGUAACUGGUCUUUAUUUGACGGUAAUCAACCAGAAAGUCACGGCUAACUACGUGCCAGCAGCCGCGGUAAUACGUAGGUGGCAAGCGUUGUCCGGAUUUAUUGGGCGUAAAGCGAGCGCAGGCGGAAUGAUAAGUCUGAUGUGAAAGCCCACGGCUCAACCGUGGAACUGCAUCGGAAACUGUCAUUCUUGAGUGCAGAAGAGGAGAGUGGAAUUCCAUGUGUAGCGGUGGAAUGCGUAGAUAUAUGGAAGAACACCAGUGGCGAAGGCGGCUCUCUGGUCUGCAACUGACGCUGAGGCUCGAAAGCAUGGGUAGCGAACAGG